rnacentral:rRNA from 1 species
AAAUUGAAGAGUUUGAUCAUGGCUCAGAUUGAACGCUGGCGGCAGGCCUAACACAUGCAAGUCGAACGGUAACAGGAAGAAGCUUGCUUCUUUGCUGACGAGUGGCGGACGGGUGAGUAAUGUCUGGGAAACUGCCUGAUGGAGGGGGAUAACU